CUGUGUGCAACCCUGCAUGCACUGCACUGCAAGCAACAUUUAUUGAUAGUCUUUGAAAUACUCAAUGCCUGUUAAAUGUUCUGCCUUAAAUUAAUACAUUAUUAGGUAACUGUAAAUGUGUAUAUGUACAUUUCUGAAAUGCAUAACUGAUAACUGAAUUGCAUGCAUUUUCUGCAGAGCUCCUUUAAAACGAUAUGUAUUGUGAAAAGCACUAUGCAAAUACAUUUGAAUUUAAUUUAAUUGAAAAUAAAUACCCUCAAAAACUUUAAAAGAUUCACCCUCAAAAAAAAAAAAAAAACUACAUUUACUACUAAGGUUAUAGCCAAAAAAGACAAAAGUCUGCCACUUUUUGUUGUUUCCAAAAAGUUAAAUCACUUUUUCCAUCAGAGAUAAAAUGUAAUGGCAGAAUGACAUUCUAUCGAAGGUAGAAUUACAUUUUGUUUUAUAAUAUGAAGGCUGUAGUGCUUUAAUCUAAUGCAAUAAAUAUUUGAAAGUCUUCCUGUAAGGUCACACAUGUUCUAUUAUUUUUCUAUUAAUAAGAAUGACAUGCACUUGUACUCUACCAGAAAGUCAAUGGUGUUCUUGAAAGUCCCACUGGCACUGGUAAAACGCUCUGUCUGCUGUGUUCAGCGCUGGGCUGGAGAGAGAACUUAAAAGACAAAAUCUCUGACCGCAAGAUAGCCGAGAGAAUGGACGGUGUGGAGCUGUUCCCUGACAGACCAAUGUCAUCGAGGGGAACAGCAGUCACCAACAAAGACACUCCAACUUAUGACACGGACAUCCCUAAGAUCAUAUAUGCUUCCAGGACCCAUUCCCAGCUAGCACAGGUCAUAAAUGAGCUCAAGAACACAUUCUACAGGCCAAAUAUUUGUGUUUUGGGAUCUAGAGAACAGCUGUGCAUAGACCAGGAAGUGAUGCGUCAAGAGAGUAACCACUUUAAGAGAAAAGCACUAAAAAACCACAAAGAAAUCAUGAAUACUAUCAUGGAUGUGGAGGAUCUUGUGAAAACAUGAAAAAGGAAAGGAUUAAAACUGGAUAUCACCACAAUUGCAAAAAUAAAACAAAUGUUGAUGGAUCUGGGAUCUUCCAUUAAUGGUUUUGAGAUGCCAGCAAAUAAUCAAGGAAUCACCAAACCCGGCAGCUUCAUAUAUGAGCUUUUUCAAACGGCUAAUGUAAACUUUGAGAAUAAAACAUCUAUAGUGGAAGCCAUGGAGCAGAUUACAGGAUAUAUAGCAGGGAGGCCUGGUGUCUUUCUGAACACCAGCAGAGUACAGAAAGUAGCAGAUAUUAUCCAGUUGGUGUUUGGGGCUAAACCUACAGAGGACAGCAAGACAUCACAGAUGGGAAACGGCAUGAAGGAAUUUAAGGUUUGCUCUGACUGAGUUUUCUUUGUUAAAUAUCUGCAGACAUCAGGUUUUAGUUGGAGUGAGUGAUAAUGUGAUGUUGCAAAUUUUAUAAUAAAAAGGAAAUCAAUUAAAAGGGUACAUUUUAAGAUGUAAAGACAUUUAUAAUGCAGACCUGCCAACAUGUACGCAUUUUUCGUACUCUGCACGCAUUUUGACCCAUAAGUACGCUUGUACGAUUCGCUGCUCUCUAGGUACGCGUCUCGCAUUUUUUGUUGCGUUUUGUUGCGUCUCGCAUUUCGCCGAUUUCAGUUUCUAUGCUUGGGAGUAUGACGCUGAUUCUGCCGCUGAUCCACAGUAUGUAAGUGGAGUGAAAAGCUGUCGGCCAAUCAGAACGGUGCAUGUCAACCUGCCGCCCACCUGCCCCUCCUAUCCACAAGCUUAGUUCGUUGGCAGUUAGAAAAGUGGUGGAAUGGCUUGAAAUCUAGAAAGUUUAAGAUAGGCCAGGUGCUGAUUAACGUAAAUUAAAGGUAACAGUUAGGCUAUGUUUAGCCUAAUUGAAUUUAUGAAUAUUAAAAGUGACCUUGACAUCAUAACAAGCAGUCCAGCUGUGACGAGCUCAGUUCAGUUCACGCGUUCUUGUAGGCUAACAUGUAAGGGUGGUGCUGCCAAUAACGCUCGUAAAAGCUGUCACAAAGAACCGGCAAAAGUAAUGAUUAUGAAUAUUUAAUGAAUAUAAUUAUUAAUAAACAAGUGUUUUCUGUAUCAAUGUCAUGUCACUGCAAAGAUAAAGUUGACGAUUCUGUCUCGCGAUCUUUGCAGUAAUGAACGCACUAGAGAAAUGCACAUUCCAUAUGGAUUAAUGUUACAUAAGCAGAGAGCAGUCUGUUUUCUGUUCAACCCUCUUGAGUCGGUUAACGCGUAUACCCGUUAUGAGUCAUUUUCUCCUGAUAACCCCGAAAAGAACUUAAAUUACACUUUC